rnacentral:rRNA from 1 species
UACGGAGGGUGCAAGCGUUAUCCGGAUUCACUGGGUUUAAAGGGUGCGUAGGCGGGUAAGUAAGUCCGUGGUGAAAUCUCUGAGCUUAACUCAGAAACUGCCGUGGAUACUAUUUGCCUUGAAUAUUGUGGAGGUGAGCGGAAUAUGUCAUGUAGCGGUGAAAUGCUUAGAUAUGACAUAGAACACCAAUUGCGAAGGCAGCUCACUACUCAAUCAUUGACUCUGAGGCACGAAAGCGUGGGGAUCAAAACAGG